GGCCAAUUAGCUUAGUUGGUUAGAGCAUUGUGCUAAUAACGCAAAGGUUGCAUGUUCGAGGCCUGCAUGGGCCA